rnacentral:tmRNA from 1 species
UGCAAAGCGCACUGACUUCGCCCUCGCUGCGUAAGCGAGCCUGAAGUCCGUCAGACCGUAGGCGUUCCCGCUACGGACCCUGGCGUCAUCUAGGGAACUUGCUGCGUGACGGCGUCUGGACGUCACGUGGGACUCUUCCCAGGCUGGGCUCGUCGACUUGGGUGUCUGUGACAAAGGUCGGAGCCGAGCAGAACGUCUGCACAGACUGCACCCGGAGAAGGCGCAGAGACCCAGCGAUGGACGGGGGUUCGAUUCCCCCCAUCUCCACCA